UACAGAGGUCUCGAGCGUUGUUCGGAAUUACUGGGCGUAAAGCGUGCGCAGGCGGUGAUGUAAGACAGUUGUGAAAUCCCCGGGCUCAACCUGGGAACUGCAUCUGUGACUGCAUUGCUGGAGUGCGGCAGAGGGGGAUGGAAUUCCGCGUGUAGCAGUGAAAUGCGUAGAUAUGCGGAGGAACACCGAUGGCGAAGGCAAUCCCCUGGGCCUGCACUGACGCUCAUGCACGAAAGCGUGGGGAGCAAACAGG
rnacentral:rRNA from 1 species